GGGGGACCAUCCUCCAAGGCUAAAUACUCCUGACUGACCGAUAGUGAACCAGUACCGUGAGGGAAAGGCGAAAAGAACCCCGGCGAGGGGAGUGAAAAAGAACCUGAAACCGUGUACGUACAAGCAGUGGGAGCACGCUUAGGCGUGUGACUGCGUACCUUUUGUAUAAUGGGUCAGCGACUUAUAUUCUGUAGCAAGGUUAACCGAAUAGGGGAGCCGAAGGGAAACCGAGUCUUAACUGGGCGUUAAGUUGCAGGGUAUAGACCCGAAACCCGGUGAUCUAGCCAUGGGCAGGUUGAAGGUUGGGUAACACUAACUGGAGGACCGAACCGACUAAUGUUGAAAAAUUAGCGGAUGACUUGUGGCUGGGGGUGAAAGGCCAAUCAAACCGGGAGAUAGCUGGUUCUCCCCGAAAGCUAUUUAGGUAGCGCCUCGUGAAUUCAUCUCCGGGGGUAGAGCACUGUUUCGGCAAGGGGGUCAUCCCGACUUACCAACCCGAUGCAAACUGCGAAUACCGGAGAAUGUUAUCACGGGAGACACACGGCGGGUGCUAACGUCCGUCGUGAAGAGGGAAACAACCCAGACCGCCAGCUAAGGUCCCAAAGUCAUGGUUAAGUGGGAAACGAUGUGGGAAGGCCCAGACAGCCAGGAUGUUGGCUUAGAAGCAGCCAUCAUUUAAAGAAAGCGUAAUAGCUCACUGGUCGAGUCGGCCUGCGCGGAAGAUGUAACGGGGCUAAACCAUGCAC
rnacentral:rRNA from 1 species